rnacentral:rRNA from 1 species
GUCUUUUUGAAAUUAAUUUAAAGUCUAAUCUGCCCACUGAAAAUUUUAAAGGGCUGCAGUAUAUUGACUGUACAAAGGUAGCAUAAUAAUUAGUCUUUUAAUUGAAGACUUGUAUGAAUGAUUUGAUGAAAUAUAUACUGUUUCUUUAUUAAUGUUAAAAUUUAAUUUUUUAGUAAAAAAGCUAAAAUUUUUUUAAAAGACGAGAAGACCCUAUAGAGUUUAAUUUUUUAUAUUUUAUAAAUGUUUUAUAAAGUUUAUAAUUCUAUAAGAUAUAAAAAAUUUUGUUGGGGUGAUAGAAAAAUUUAAUUAACUUUUUUUAAAAAAAUUGACAUUAAUUUAUGAAUUUAUGAUCCAUAAUUUAUGAUUAUAAGAUUAAAUUACCUUAGGGAUAACAGCGUAAUUUUUUUUUUUAGUUCAAAUAAAAAUUAAAGUUUGCGACCUCGAUGUUGGAUUAAGAUAAAAUUUAAAUGCAAAAGUUUAAAAUUUUGAUCUGUUCGAUCAUUAAAAUCUU